CCUUCCGCCUCUUGGGGGGAGGGGCAGAAAUGGGGGGCUCAGAAAAGCGGGAGGGUUAUCUGGACCUGGGGGGAGGGGCGCAGGCGAGGGGAGACCCCGCAGAGCCCCUGGCAGUGAAGAGGGGAAAUCAGGUGGAGCUGCCAAAAAAAGCCAGAGCAGUCUUGGGCGGCAUCAACCGAGGGGCAACAUGAAAGGAAGACGAGAAAUGAGAAUCCCGGUUUAUCCUGCACUAGUGAGGCCACCCUUGGAAUGCCGGGUCCGCUUCUGGUCUCCACGACUCAAAAAAGAUGCUGGGAGCCCAGAAAGAGUCAGAGAGGAGCAAUAAAGGUGAUAAAGGAGGGUUAAACGGUAUGACGAACCGCUGGGAGAGCAAGAUCCGGAGACUCUCAACAAGGCGGGACCAAAGAAUUUCCGGAAACACGGAUGAGCUGGAGAUUGGCGCUCCCUGCUGGUUUGCAGCUUUGCAGUUUUCCCUCUCAAUUAGCAAAGGUUGGAAGCCAAAGGAAUCCCAAACCAGCCAGAGGUUUAUCCAGUGGUUCUCCACCUGUGGGUCGGGACCCCAUUUGGGGUCGAACGACCAUUUCACAGGGGUCGCCAAACAAGGCUGUCCGCCAAUUUUUUUCCCCUUUUCUUUGGCCACACCCCUGGCACCCGGUGAUGUAUAAGUGGUUGGGGGUCACCACAACAUGGGGAACUGUAUUAUGGGGUCGCGGCAUUAGAAAGGUUGAGAACCACUGGGUUAAUCGAACUAUGUAGAAUCAAGCCAGCCACAGUUAGAACUGAUUAAAUUACUUCCAGACUGUCUAAGCUCCCGUUUACUUUUUCGGCUCCCUUGUGAAGCCAGGAUGUUGAGUACAUGAAUAGCUCACUUAUAAGAAAAUCCCAAAGCACAUAGCUGGCACAGGAAACUAGAAGCUCUGCAACAGUCCCAUGACCUAAGGUGGGCAAAGAUGGCGUGACAUUUAGCUAUUUUGCAUAGCAAACGAGAAAACUUUCGGGGGCUGCAAUCCAGAUCUUGGGUUUGGUGAUCAAUUGGCUUCGACACCAAGCUAAGACCCAGUUUUGGGAACAACAGCCCGAUGUGAGGUUAUGGAAAGGCACCUCCCGGGUGCAUGACUGACCCACUAACAUCCACUGUGUGAAUCCGGCUUCGGUGGGUCUGGAGAAUCCCUGGGAAAUGAGAUGCUGCGCUGCUUCCUGAGCCAGGAUUUUGGGAAGGAGCCAAACACAAGACAGGCUGAAGCAGCUCAGGACAGCCUUUGCCUGUGGGAAUCAGAGGAAGGAGAGGCAGCUGCCCUGCCCAAGCAUUAUGGGGCCUCUUUCUCCAGGCACAGCCCCCCCCCCCCCUUGCCUCAUCUGUGGAGCCCCCUGAUCUACCCAGACACAACCCCCCCACCUCUCCAGGCUGCUUCCUUAAUGAUGCCUAUGUUGUAUAUAGUAUGUAUCUGUUGUAUAUACCGUAUAUGCCGGCAUACAAGGCGACCCGGCGUAUAAGACGACCCCCGUCUUUGGCGCCGAGUCGCAUUCCUAGAACGUUGUC